rnacentral:rRNA from 1 species
UACGUAGGGGGCAAGCGUUGUCCGGAAUUAUUGGGCGUAAAGAGCGCGUAGGCGGUCCGGUAAGUCGGUUGUGAAAGUCGGGGGCUCAACCCUCGGAUGCCGAUCGAUACUGUCGGGCUAGAGUCCGGAAGAGGCGAGUGGAAUUCCUGGUGUAGCGGUGAAAUGCGCAGAUAUCAGGAGGAACACCGAUGGCGAAGGCAGGUCUCUGGGCCACUACUGACGCUGAGAAGCGAAAGCAUGGGGAGCGAACAGG